AAAGAAUUAGUUAAAUUAUAACAUUAAUAUGUCAUAUUAAAAUUAUUUUUAUAAAAAUAUUCUUUU
rnacentral:tRNA from 1 species